rnacentral:misc_RNA from 1 species
GAUGAAGAACGUAGCGAAAUGCGAUACGUAAUGUGAAUUGCAGAUUUCAGUGAAUCAUCGAAUCUUUGAACGCACAUUGCGUCCGCCAGUAUUCUGGCGGGCAUGCCUGUUCGAGCGUCAUUUCAACCAUCAAGCGCCUGCGCUUGUGUUGGAGCCCUGCGGCUGCCGCAGGCUCUCAAACCCAGUGGCGGGCUCGUCGUCGUACCGAGUGCAGUAAAUUUACCACGCUCAGGGCACGCGACGGGUGACCGGCCGUAAAACCCCCAUCUUCUCAAGGUUGACCUCGGAUCAGGUAGGAAUACCCGCUGAACUUAAGCAUAUCAAUAAGCGGAGGA